rnacentral:rRNA from 1 species
UACGUAGGUGACAAGCGUUGUCCGGAUUUACUGGGCGUAAAGAGCGCGCAGGCGGUCGUUCAAGUCGAGUGUGAAAGCCCCCGGCUCAACUGGGGAGGGUCACUCGAUACUGAUCGACUCGAAGGCAGGAGAGGGUAGUGGAAUUCCCGGUGUAGUGGUGAAAUGCGUAGGAUAUCGGGAGGAACACCAGUGGCGAAGGCGACUACCUGGCCUGUUCUUGACGCUGAGGCGCGAAAGCUAGGGGAGCAAACGGG